UUUUGGCCUUUCUUCCAGAAACAAAACCCUAUUUCCCUUCGCCAUCCACUGCCACCGAAGAAACCACGUAGUCGCGCUGUUCUUGGAGAAGUUCAACAUCAGAAUUGCUUCAAGGGAGUUUCUUCUAUGAAUUUAAUUUCACUCAUGUUGUUCUUGAUAUUUAUAUAUUCAGUAAUCAUGUUGUGUAAUUAAGUUCAUAGAUGGGGAUUUUGAUGUAGCCUUGCAAAACUAUUCUAUGUUAUUAAGUUAAAGUAUUCGAUUCAUCAAUCUGUUUUCUUGUUUCAUUCACUGAUUUUAUAGUUUAAUUUGUUUGUUUAUCUUAAUGUUUGAUCACCAUUAGGGUUUCUUACAAAUUAUUUGAUCAAGAUUAUAGUACACAUCAUACUUAAUCUUGGUAGACAUGUGAACGAAUGAAGAAAUUGCUAUGCAUACAUUCUGUAAUGUGAUUUCUUUGGUUCUUUGAAGUUUUCUUGUCCUUAAUGGGUUCUUACUUGCUAAUCUAAGUUGAACAUCACAACUAGAUUGCAGAUUAGGAGUACUUGAUCACAAGCACACAUCAAAUCAUGAUCAUAAAUAAGUAAAACGAACCCUAGUUGCAGAUUGAAGAGUUGAAUGCGUUUUGACUUAAUUUUCAUGGAAUUGACUUGUAAUGGUGAUAUUGGUUUCCCUAGAUCCAUUCCCAUUGUUUCUGAAUCAUUCUAUUAUUCAUAUUUACAUUCUCUUGAAUUUUAAGUUACUUUACUUCUAAAAUCAAAAUCAAAACUCAAUUUGUUAGUUUCAUUGUUUAGUUAGGAUUCAUAUAAAGCUAGUAAUUUUAGAGGUCUAAUCAGUACCUGUGGUUGGAUACCCUUAGUUGUGCCAUAAUACUAUCCUUAUAGUUGCACUUGAAACGAACACAACAGAUGGUGAAGGUGGUAUCAGUGCAGACAACUACCUUGAAGUCGCCAUAAGAGGCCCAAAACCUCUUUAUCAGUCGCACAGUGGUCCCCCACAGGGGUAGACAUUCAGCAAUGAGAAAUCCAGCCAAAUAGGUACCAUUGUUGGUGUUGAAUUACGUUCGAGGUUCACUAGGAGAUUGUUAGUGUGUUUUUGAUGGGCCUGAUGAUUUUCCAUGAGGAAAAGAGGGAUUAAGUGACAAAAUGUUAAAAGAGGGAUUCCAAUGAUAAAGAAACAGAUAUGGGAGACAGGGAGAGGACAAGAUUGGUGAUGAUAUUAUGGAGGUUGAGUGGAGUUUAUAAAUAAGUUUUGAGAACUUGAUGGGAUUUGAUUGAUGAGGUUGCAUGGUGUUAAUGGGUUGCCACAAAUGGGGUUUGGACUAGUUUAUGAUUACCCAUAGGAACUCAAUGGAAUUAAAGGGUAGGGCGGCUCCAAAUUCACUCCAGGGAGCAAGGAUUUGAAAGAGAAUAAAUAUACAUAGGAGCAAGAGAGAAAAACCUACCAAAGAGAAGAUGAUUAAGAGGUAAGGGAAGAUUUAGGAGAAUUAAGGGAAUCGAGAGAAUAGAUUUGCUUAGAUUCAGGAUAAAUGGGGGAUUGGAAGAGGGGAGAGAUAAAGAGGGGGAGUGUAGUGAGGGGGCAGCAACGUGACUGUAGUAAAUUUGAAAGACGACUAACAUCAAAUUGUUCAGGUGUAAAUAAAUUGAAAAGAUGGACAAAUGGACAGAUGGACAGAUGGAUAGAGGAGGCGGAUUAGACAUGCGAGGAGCUUAAAUAAAUAAAAUGAAGUCUUAAAUAGGGAAAAUUAAUAAAGGAAAGGGUUGGGAUAAAAGAAAGAUUGGGAAGGACGGUGAAAAAGAUUAAAAACAAACCUCAGAAAAACGAGAUGGGAAACCCUAACAAAGGCAGGGGAAACUCUCAAUGACAGAGAGUGGACCUAAUCUUGAUCUAAGUAAGGAAAUAUCUACCUCGAAGUCAAUUUUAUGAGGAAAAUCAGGCUCGCCUACUUGUUAAAUAGCUGGAAGGUAAUGGAUUGCCUCCUAAGUCUCAAAGGUGAAAAAUGGGCUCGCCAAGCAUCUUCAUUCUAAACAAUAAUUGUUUUGUACAAGGGUGAUGAAAUUGUCCUUAUUAUUACUUUAGUGUAAAGUGAGGGGGAUUUUGGCAUUGCUCAUAAGCGACAGUGAAAUUGGCCUGAUUUCGACAUAUUUACAACUCGGCCAUCCGAUUAAAAAACUGAAAGAACUUCUGCAUUUGGGGCCUUUGGUUUGUGGGUUUGGGCUUCGAGUGGGCCAUUGGGGCCACCUCAGCGAUCACAACUCUCACUUACAGAAAAUACACAACUUUCAUUUUGCAUUUUAUUUUUUUAAUAAAUUGUAACAGACUUGUUGAAUACUUAGAUUAACACACAUUAUAUGCUUGUUCCUCAUGUUUUCAUUAUGUUCUAAUAUUUUAUAAUCUAUAUGUCAUUAAAUUUUGUAAUUUAUGUAUCCUAAUGCAAUUAUGUAUUUUUUAAGUAGAAGAAGGCACUUAUUUAUACAAUAUAUAUUAGAUUUCACUUAAAUCCGCCUAGGCGGCUAGACCCUACCUCGCCACCCGACUAGUGCCUAGCAUUUUUUGGAACCUUGGUCGUAAAUAUGUUUUCCUCAUUUGAACUCUAUUUAGCUGUCAUUUGUUCUUUUCCUCAAUUCUUUCUCACCAUUUGCAUUUUUCGGAGCUUCUGGAAUGAGCCUGUAUAUAUUUUUUCCAUUUCUCUUCGUGAUUAUAUUAUUUUUCGUUGUGAGAUUGAUAUGCUGGAUUUAUUUAUCUAUGGUUGCGUUUUUUAGGUGUUUGGGGAAGAUCCAUUUUCAGGGGAUUUCGUUGGUUUUGUCUAUUCAGCUAUCUUUGUUUCUUUUAUUUUGCCGUUUUAGUUGGUUAUUAGGAAUAAGGGUUUGGAUCGGUACUGAUUGUGUUCGUUGGAUUGUUUUUUUUUUUUAAUGCAUGAUUGGAUGGUUGUUAUUGGUGUUUUGUGUGCUCUCAUAAAUAUUUUUUUGAAUUAAGAUUAUAUUCAUGUGUUUUGUGUGCUUGAUCAGUUGUCAUGGAUGGAUCUCUGUUCUAUUUUCAAUCCUUUUUCAGAUGAUUUGAUUGUUUCUCUCUUUUCGUGUCUUUUUCUCUUGUUGUUAAAUUUUUGGUUGAUUAGUAGGAAGAAGGAUUUCAUUCGGUGCCGGUAUUUUUGUUAGAUUGUUGUUGUUUUUUAAUGUAUGAUUGGAUGAUUGUUAUUGAUGUUUCUAUGGCUUCAUAAAUUUCUUUUGGGGAUUACGAUUAUGUCCAUGUGUUUUGGAUGCUUAAUCAGUUGGUUUGGAUGGAUAUUUGUUUUCUUAUCAACUUAUCUUUUGCUAUGUGCAUAGUUACAUUUUCUGUGUAGGUUUUCUGUUUGGUGUUUGAGCCCUUCGUUUUUAUUUGCUAGCACUUCCUUGCGAGUGGUUGCAAUUCUGCGCCGGAUAGAUUUCUUGCCUUCUAAAUACUCAUAAUUUUUUCAUUUCCGUUUGGUGUUUCUUAUUUGUGGUUGCGUCACUUGGAUUGCCUUAAUUUUUUUUUUUGGCUCUUUUGUUAUACCUCCAUAGCUGGGGAUCUUUAAGAGACUACUAAAAAUGAAAUAUUCACGUUGUUUGUUCUGACCUAAUCUGGUUCGGAUUUUCAUUUGUUGUCCUAUUUUUCGUCAAUCUAUGUUUAUGUUGAUGAGUUAUUUUAUUGAACUUAUUUUUGUCGGUUGAUUAUAUGCUCUUGACGGUGCUUGUUUGGUUGCUAUUUUAAUCUCAUAUGGAUUAUAAUUGUACGUUUAUUUGAUCAGUUAUUUUCUUGUUUCAAUGAUGCAUGCUAUUCUUUUCUUAGUGGUUUUGGUUUAAUUAUUGGACAGAAUAACCGUGGCUGUGUAUGGUUCACUAUGGUUUUUUUUUUUAAAACGUAUCGUGGGCGGGUGUUUCUGUGGCUAUUUGUUUGUCUGUUGUUAACAAAUUAAUUUUCUGUUUGUGUGUUUAUUUGUUCUCAAUCUGUGGAUGCAUCCAUGCACUGUGUUUAUUUGCGUGCUUUAUGGUUUUGUUUGUUGAUGGUUAUGGUUUGAUUACUGGCCAAAGAAACUGGUUGGGUUAAUAUUUAACAUUGGGUUUUGUAUUAGGGAAAGCCCAAAAGUGCCAAAGCAAGUUGAACUUGCCCGGAGCCCAGUCAAGAGGCCUGAAGCAAAUUGGAGCCUUUUUAGCCAAGGCAUAGACCAUGUUCCUAGGAUUGAAGUGACAGAUGAUAGACACGAACUCACUAUCAACCAAAAAGCACUUUCUAGUGGCAUGACAAGUAAAUAGAUGAUGACUCAUUGCCCUCUGAGAGCCAUCGGCCAAGAACAAAGCCUAGAUAGUCGGGCCAAAUCGCCUAUAAAAGGAGAAAAGGACAUUAGAGACAAGAACACUCAACCAACCAAUCAAAAGACAUACAAACUCUGCUCUCAAGCCAGUUCGUACCCAGAAAGCUGAAACUUGUCCAAAUUUAAUCCUUUUAGCUACAGUUCCCUUAGAAAAGACAUCUUUUGUCUAGUGUAAAAGCUCUGCUACCUUCCCUUAGUUUUGUAGUAUCGAUUCCCUCGUGUAAAACCUAUUUACCAUCCAUUCUUCUUAGCAUAUAAGACCUUGCCUGACAAGGUGAAAUCUUGUCCGAGUCUCUUUGUUUGUACUUUUACUUAGUAGAUAUGUCGCUUAAUGUACUUUUCAGCAUGUAUUCAAGUUAUUCAAACUGUUUUCUGUCCCAUUUGCAUUCGAAUCUGGUUAACUUAAUAAACCUAUUUUCAUUAAGAGAAAACUGUGUUCGAGUAAAUGGUUAAGAGGGCCUUGAACUCCCUUCACUUUGGAUGUACAAGAUUAUGAACUAAAGUCCUUGUUUACAAGGCAAGAAAAAUAACCUAAUGCAGACUUAACCUAUCUAUGACAAUCCUUUGAUAACGAGAAAUUUAAGUAACUUGGGGUGCAAGUAACUAACUUAACUCACACUUAUUCAACAUAUGUAUAUUGAGAUAACAGUGGCACGCCUAAAUCCUUGUUAGUUUUGAUUGCAAGCCCCAGAGCCUACACCAAAGGCUCUACAAAGGCACCUUUCAAUACACCAAGUGCUAAACCCCUAGGGAACUAUGCGAGGAAAUCCUUGCCUGAACAUAGUUUUGGCACGCCUAGUGGGACCACCACUAAUUUUGUAUGCCAAGAAGAAGGAAGGAGCGAACUUUCAGGUGGAAAUAGAGUUUGGACAAACUCAUUGCCCAACAGAAGCAAAUAUGAUAGACUACCCAUAAGACUUUCCAUCCCUACAAAGUUUUGCCAUUCUAGAAAGCCUAACUUCUUCUGAGAAGUCGAGCGAAAAGGUUACAAAUGAAGACUUGCAAGCCACCAUGGUGCAAGUGUUUAGACGUAUGGAGAAGAUCACUCUGGAAACCUAAGGUGAAGUUAGCAGACUCUGUUCGUUAAUAGGGACUCUGCAGAGAAGGUUGGAGUUAGAGUACUCCACACCAAAAGAUGGUUAUGCCAGGGAAGAAAGCUUUGAGAAGCAACCAGUGAUCACUAUAUUUCCUUUACUCAAGGAGAAGAAAAGUAAGGCAAAGAAGAAAGAAGAGCCCGAUUCUAGUUGACCAGAAGUGGAGGAGAUCUGGGAAACAAGUUUGCCUGAUCCUCUACUAUUCCCAUUAUAUGGUAGAGGGCAUAUCGGGCUAGGAGGAAGGAAGUUUGGAAUAACUCAACAAGUGAUAGGAGCAUAUUUAUGCGACUUAGUUAACAUGUUUUCUUGCACUUACUUAGUUAGUUAUUGCUUAUAAGAGAGUUUUAAAUCAUUUUCGUAUGUUUGUAGGUCCUAAUAACAAAGUUGGCAAGAAAAGUGCAUUUUGGUGCAUUUGGAGCAAUUUUGGGCUGAAAUGGAUUGCAUGCACUUGGAGACAUGAGGAUGGACGUUUUGGGAAGAUUAGAAUUCAGCAUAUGUGUGUGCAAGUGUGUGACCUACAACUAACAAACAUCAUAGCUGCCAUGUGAUGGAGACAACAUCAUACAAGGCACAUGCAAAGAAACACACACGACAUGGAGAGAAAGUGUAGUGGUUUGUAGCUGAAUUGUUGAAGCAAGUGUGCGCAAAUGUAAAGAGGAUCUAAACAUGGACAGCAUACAGCAUGUGCAAAGGAGGAAACACACACACAUGGGCAAAGGAAAGGCACAGCAUGGGCAGAAAAUACACCACUACAUUCACUCAUUACCACAACACUCACCCUUGUCCCCUUCACCCAUCAGAUUUCAUUCACUUUCACCUCCACUAAAUGCACUCAUUGAUGCACGACUCCUCCACUUUCCUUGCCCAUGCCGUGCAUCAUGAAUCCACCUGCACCUAUGACUCAUUUCUGCACCAUUCCACCUCUCUUUCCUUUAUCUACCAUGUGCACAAUCAUUCAUGUUCCCCACUUGCAUUCAUAGCUACAACACCACUCCAUUUCACCCCCCAUGCUUUGCAUCAUUACUUCACUUUCACCAUUGAAUCAUUGCUAACACCACCAUCCAUCCCUCCAUGCCGUGUACUUCCUCUCUAAAAGGAAGUGUGUGUGGCAGCCAUUACAUGCAGUUUUUGCUUGAGAAUUCAUCCCCAAUUCAAUACAACUAUCAUCCAAACACAUCCAUUCAUCUACACAUCCAUUCCUCCAUACAACCAAACCUUCAAACACUCACCAACAUCUUGUUGAAGGAAAAAAUUUGUCCUAACUAAGAACAAGUAUGAACAUUUGAAUACACAUGCAAGCUAUUAACACUUUAAAGUAGGCAUGCAUCCAAAAACAAUUCAUAAAACCCAUGACUUUCAAAGCCUAGUAUAUGGUGAACCAAAAUAAACUCUUUAACAAUAUUAAAGAGAAGGAAGAAUUUAGUGAUUCUUUACCCUUGAAGCUCAUCCUUGAUUACACAAGGGAUUCACCCAAGUGGAGGGCCUUCAAGUCACCUCCAAGCUCCUUGAAUCCUCCUUGUGUUUUCCUCCCUUUAGUGCUCCUUUGGAGAUUUGAGGAAAUAAGGAUUUGUUCUCCAAACCACCAAAAGCUUGAUGUCUCUAAGUCUCUUCACCAAGGUUGUAUCUUGUGAAGAUGAAAUGGAUGACUAAGGGAAGAAGAGAUUGCUAGAUGUCCCUUCCCUUAGUGGCCGGCCUCCUUAGAAGAAAAUGGAGAAAAUGUUUCACCCAAUUUCAACAAGAAGAACCCUAAUUAGAAAAUUGCUAUAAAGUUGCUUUUAUAACAUUUUCUUUGGUGAGUGGCAAA
rnacentral:lncRNA from 1 species